UACGUAGGGGGCUAGCGUUGUCCGGAAUCAUUGGGCGUAAAGAGCGUGUAGGCGGCCCGGUAAGUCCGCUGUAAAAGUCAAAGGCUCAACCUUUGAAUGUCAGUGGAUACUGCCGGGCUAGAGUCCGGAAGAGGCGAGUGGAACUCCUGGUGUAGCGGUGGAGUGCGCAGAUAUCAGGAAGAACACCAACGGCGAAGGCAGCCCCCUGGGUCGACACUGACGCUCAGGCACGAAAGCGUGGGGAGCAAACAGG
rnacentral:rRNA from 1 species